ACGAACGCUGGCGGCGUGCUUAACCCCUGCCAGUCGAACGGUGAAGCUCCAGCUUGCUGGAGUGGAUCAGUGGCGAACGGGUGAGUAACACGUGAGCAGCCUGCCCCUGACUCUGGAAUAAGCGCUGGAAACGGCGUCUAAUACUGGAUACGAGAAGGGUCCGCAUGGGCACUUUCUGGAAAGUUUUUCGGUUGGGGAUGGGCUCGCGGCCUAUCAGCUUGUUGGUGAGGUAAUGGCUCACCAAGGCGACGACGGGUAGCCGGCCUGAGAGGGCGACCGGCCACACUGGGACUGAGACACGGCCCAGACUCCUACGGGAGGCAGCAGUGGGGAAUAUUGCACAAUGGGCGAAAGCCUGAUGCAGCGACGCCGCGUGAGGGAUGACGGCCUUCGGGUUGUAACCCUCUUUCAGCAGGGAAGAAGCGAAAGUGACGGUACCUGCAGAAGAAGCACCAGCUAACUACGUG
rnacentral:rRNA from 1 species